rnacentral:rRNA from 1 species
UACGUAGGGUGCAAGCGUUGUCCGGAAUUAUUGGGCGUAAAGAGCUCGUAGGCGGUCUGUCGCGUCGGAUGUGAAAAUCCAGGGCUCAACCCUGGACCUGCAUUCGAUACGGGCAGACUAGAGUUCGGUAGGGGAGACUGGAAUUCCUGGUGUAGCGGUGAAAUGCGCAGAUAUCAGGAGGAACACCGGUGGCGAAGGCGGUUCUCUGGGCAUGAUCUGACGCUGAGGAGCGAAAGUGUGGGGAGCGAACAGG